ACUGAAGGUAACUGUGACAAUUAGCAUGGUUUGCCAUGUUUUAUUGCCAAUAUUAAUUCCUUUGUAGGCACAAAUAAAAAAAAGCCCAAGGCAAGUUUUCUUAUCAUUUUCUCAGUUCAGAGAUUCCUUUGAAAUUUUUGAUGAAAGCUGUAGUAGACCCUUUGUUCAGAAAAAUUAUUCAACCAUGAUUUCAUCAUUCUGAAGAUUUGUAAUACCUCUGAAGUGUAGCCACAGUUAAGAAAAACUGCCUUAGACUUUUCCUAAGCCCCAAUGUUACUCUGCUAAUACAACUCAUAUGGAAUGCAAGGCAGUAAAUGCACUGAGGCUGCCUAGGACAAUUCUUAGACAUUUAGGUCUCCUAACAAUGACAGAGGUGUAGGACUCCUGCAAGACCCUAUUUUAUCUUAUUUAAGGUCACAACAAUCUGGCUUGCAAAAUGAAGAAACUAAAAAUUGGAGCUGUGAAUGGGCCAGUGUCCUCCCGCAUGGAAGUGAUAGAGAAGGAUUUAAAGCCAUAAAUAAGCUUCAAGAUGUCUCUUUCUGCCAAGUUACAAUAUUAAGACUACUAAAUUGUUUAUUAUAUUCGCUUAACAUAAUAAACAGGUAAAUUAGAAUAUACUAUAUGUAUCAUCAUCAAAUCUUUCCAUAGAGACAGGUAGUGCUUGAUAAGAGCUAGAAGUUUUGUUUGUUUGUUUGUUUGUUGUUUUUUUAACUUACAAGGAUCCGGGAUUAAAUAUAACUGGCUGUAGUUUUGUUUUAGAGACCCGAAUGAAUAAGAAAUAGUGGAAAUUCAUGAGAUAUGAAAACAGGCUAAGAGAUUAUUCUCUCUAUAUGAGUUUAGUAUAGACAGAUUUGUGGACAUUUCACAGGUUCUUAGGUAGGAUAAACUUGCCUUGGAGUUUUAAAACACUGUUUAACAUCUGAAUAAUUAAACUCUGUGUUUCCUUUCAAUGAUCAUAAUUGCCUUUUCAUUUGUAUCUUAUUUCCACACUACAUUAGAUAUUGCAUUGCCCUUGUCCACAACCCCUGAGCCCUUUCUCUUCUUCAAGUCUGUAAGCUGUGAGAGCUGACUUACUUUCUUAACCCAUGGCCAAUAGCUUCUAUUUGAGCUGAUUUCCUUGCCAUUCUCUAGUCUAUUAUUUUGUCAUGUUGACUUCUUCUAGGAGUCACCUGACCAGGAGCUAUUAAGCAAAACAAACAACCAAACAAACAAACAAAACACCCAAGUCCCAACUUCCACCAGAACAGACCAUUGUUGUGUCAAAAGUUCUAUUAUACUAUUAAAAUACAAAUGUUAUUGACUUUUGAACUGUUCAGCAACUCUUUCAUGACCUUUCCAGGUUACUUUUAUUAUUAUUAUUAUUUCUCUCACCUAAUUUUAGCAUGUCCAAACUUUUAAUAUUUUUUGUAGAAUUUUUAUAACCAUAUUUUGUUUAUGGUUUCUCCUCCUUCAACCCCCACUCACCCAACUUUAUGAGCUUCUUCUCCUAAAACAAACAAAAAGCC
rnacentral:lncRNA from 1 species